rnacentral:rRNA from 1 species
AUGUCGGAUUUCAUAGCUUGGAGCUUUACAAAGAAUGGACUGUUCACGGUUCGUUCUGCUUAUCUGGAGGAAUGGAAAGCCCAACAUGGGAGGAAAUUGCAACACUCAGAUGGCAUUGGAGGAAUAAAUGUCAAUACUAUUUGGAGCAAGAUUUGGAAAUUAUCUUGUCCAGCAAAAGUGAAGAUCUUUAUUUGGCGUACCUUACACGGAACCCUCCCGUGUCGUAUUACACUUGCUAAUAGACAUAUGAAAGUUUUGCCCACCUGCCCAUCAUGUUCGAAUGGGCAUGAAGAUACUAAACACUUAUUAUUUUUAUGUCAAAAGGCAAAAGAGGUGUGGGAGAAACUGGGAUUGCACGAAGCCAUUAAAAAAGCCUGUGCGGUCGAUCGUGCAGGAGAGGCAGUACUUGAAUUUCUAAUUUUUAUGCCAGAACAUGAGCUAUCUACAUUGGGCACACAGAAUGUUCGCGAACUGAUCGCUAUAAUAGCCUGGUAUUUAUGGUGGGAAAGACGUUCGCUAGUUCAUCGGGGGAAGACCCAAGAUGCAUACCAAAUUUCGAUGGGAGCCCGUGCUAUAACGACGAACUAUGUUAUUGCCCAGUCCUCCAGGGCAACAAAUAAAAUAGAGGGAUGGACGAGACCCCCUCUAGGUUUUGUGAAAUUAAAUGUCGAUGCUUCUUUUGAUCAAGACAUGCUUAGAGGCACAGCGGGAGCUGUACUUAGAGAUGAUAAAGGAAGAUUUAUUGUUGGAGGGAAUUGGAAGAUGGAUUGGUGUGCAGAUGUUUUAACAGCAGAAGCCAUGGCACUACGUUUUGGCUUAUUACUUGCACAAAAGGUGGGAAGUAACCGACUUGUUGUUAACUCCGACAAUAUGGAAGUAAUUGACACGAUGAAGAAUGGAGGACAUACAGCGGGAGCGGCGGCAGCUGUGUUUGAUUUGAACAAUGUAAUAGGAAGGCAAAUAAAGUAG